rnacentral:rRNA from 1 species
CAAAACCGGCCGGCACCCGUUUCUUAAUUAAACGUAGAAAAAGACCAGCCGCUCAUUUCGUCUCCUCUCUUAUCCACUCGCUUUCCCACAGGCAAAGCAGUAACUUCUCCACGGCCGGCGAACGCCGCGACGUUGAUCUGCUUGCAUGUCGGAGCAGGAGGGUCCGGGACAUCCCCGCAAGCUGGCUCAUCCAGCCGGUUGUCUUAGUCGGCGAGCGCUCCGUGGUCGCCCCGGCGCGGCGCUCGUCAGCGAACUGCGCACCAGCCCUGCGGCCACGGCGUCGCUCGCCCCGCGCGGCGCUCGUAGGCGAGCUUCGCGCCGUUCCUGAGGUCGCAGCCUCCGUCGCCCGGUGCGGCGCUCGUCGGUGAACUACGCGCCGUCCCUCCUCGGCGGUCACCUUCGUGGCCCUGUUCGCCGCGUCCACCGCGACCCAGCUACUGAGCUUCCAAGACUUGCCGUGCUAGAAGUACAAUGGAAAGGAGAGGAAUCUGUGUUGUUUUCCCAUUCUGAACAAGGUGGUUAAUAAUUUCAAUCUUCUGACUACGCAUUCGCAACUAAUCAGAGGAUUGGGAGAAGACUGUUGGGUCAGAGAAAAAGGAAGAACGCAAUGGAAACAAGAUGGCUUACAUUUGGGGGAUCUGAUUCCUCAUUGGUUCCGGCAAGAAUUGGUGAAGAAGCCAUCAAGUUCCUCCAGCAAGUCCCUUUGUUGGAUCUGUGUUCAUAGGUAGAUUUGAUGAAGAAGCGUAUAGUUUGGUUUGUUUCGUACUCUAUGUGCGGGAAAAGUUCACCGCCAAUGCUUUUGGCGGGCAAGACAUAUUUAUUUCCCUCUAAAUCUCUGUUCUAUUGCGUUAAUUACGUUGCGUAGAGAAAGUCUGGAGCGGCCGGUUUUAUUUAAUUGCUGGGUUUUUAAGGAAAAAAGAAGGAAAUAGCGUGGGUCGUUAGAUGAGCGCCGCGUAGGAGGGAGCACCGAUGGGAGUAUUUUCGCGGAGCAGGCAAGCCCCGUCCGGGGGGCAGGGACGCAGUUCAGAUCUGUGCAUGUAGCAACGAACUGACGACGCAGCCUCCCAGGUAGCCAACGAAGACUACGCGAUUAUUACGUCGUUCUAUUUACUUCCUUGCGAUCACAGGGGCCAAGUAGCGAACAGAACCCACGCUGAGUUAUUGGGCCUGGCCCGGCGCGUGGUGAAGGUAGCGCACAAUGCCCUAGUCGAUCUAAAAAAGCGCCCUAGUCCCCUUUUUCAAUCGUCGUGGAUGCCCACCGC